CACUCCUACGGGAGGCAGCAGUGAGGAAUAUUGGACAAUGGGUGGAAGCCUGAUCCAGCCAUCCCGCGUGCAGGAAGACGGCCCUAUGGGUUGUAAACUGCUUUUAUCUGGGGAUAAACCUACUUACGUGUAAGUAGCUGAAGGUACCAGAAGAAUAAGCACCGGCUAACUCCGUGCCAGCAGCCGCGGUAAUACGGAGGGUGCAAGCGUUAUCCGGAUUUAUUGGGUUUAAAGGGUCCGUAGGCGGACUGAUAAGUCAGUGGUGAAAUCCGACAGCUUAACUGUCGAACUGCCAUUGAUACUGUUAGUCUUGAGUAAGGUUGAAGUGGCUGGAAUAAGUAGUGUAGCGGUGAAAUGCAUAGAUAUUACUUAGAACACCAAUUGCGAAGGCAGGUCACUAAGUCUUAACUGACGCUGAUGGACGAAAGCGUGGGGAGCGAACAGGAUUAGAAACCCUUGUAGUCCCAUGA
rnacentral:rRNA from 1 species